GACGAAGGGGGCUAGCGUUGUUCGGAAUUACUGGGCGUAAAGCGAGUGUAGGUGGUUGUCGUAGUCAGGUGUGAAAGCCUUGAGCUCAACUCAAGAAAUGCACUUGAUACUGGGCAGCUAGAGGACCGGAGAGGAUAGUGGAAUUCCCAGUGUAGUGGUGAAAUACGUAGAGAUUGGGAAGAACACCGGUGGCGAAGGCGGUUCUCUGGGCCUUACCUGACGCUGAGGAGCGAAAGCGUGGGGAGCGAACAGG
rnacentral:rRNA from 1 species